rnacentral:misc_RNA from 1 species
CCAUCAAGCCUGGCUUGUCGUUGGACCAUUUUUGCCACUGAAAUAUAUGGCAGGUCCGAAAGAUAAUGACGGCGUCGUGUUUGACCCUAAAUGCAACGAGCUUUUGAUAGCACGCAUUGAAGUGGUUGGCCGACCCAGUCUUUAACCAUCAUUUUUCUAAGGUUGACCUCGGAUCAGGUAGGAAUACCCGCUGAACUUAA